rfam:Ictidomys tridecemlineatus contig077351, whole genome shotgun sequence.
UGGGGUGUGGCUCAGCGGUAGAGCACUCGCCUAGGACGUGCAAGGCCCUGGGUUCGAUCCUCAGCACCACAU